AUGUCUGAGUUGAUCGAGCAGCUUUCUAAGGACUUGAAUAACGAGGAAAUCAGGCAUACAUAUUUUGUCAUGUCUCAUGGUUUGGAUGGAUUCCCUGCCGACUUCUAUAAGAAAUCACGGAACAAGUUGGUAGCUAGGUUUGUGCAUUUAUUCAAAAUCUCUGGCAUAAUCCUCAUUGUAUUGGAGAUAUCAACAAAACAAAAUUAUGUUUGA